UACGGGGGGGGUAAGCGUUGUUCGGAAUUACUGGGCGUAAAGGGCUCGUAGGCGGCCAACUAAGUCAGACGUGAAAUCCCUCAGCUUAACUGGGGAACUGCGUCUGAUACUGGAUGGCUUGGAUUCGGGAGAGGAAUGCGGAAUUCCAGGUGUAGCGGUGAAAUGCGUAGAUAUCGGGAGGAACAUCUGUGGCGAAGGCGGCCAUCUGGACCAGCACUGACACUGAGGCACGAAAGCGUGGGGAGCAAACAGG
rnacentral:rRNA from 1 species